ensembl:snoRNA
GCAUGGGUUUGGAUUUACGGCAGGCCCAUCACGCUGGGCCUCUCAUAGUGUCAUAUGCUGGAGCAACCUGUGACUCCGAACCAUCGCCUGGUGUCUGUGCCUGUAGGCUGCUGGCACUGAAGUCAAACAACA